AUACGGGCGGGAUCAACGGGCACGGUGAUGCGUGACUUUGUAAUAAUAAUAAUAAUAAUAAUGUCAUGUAAUACGCCUCGUUGAAUCAGACAUCCGAUACAGGUUUCGAUUUGUUUGUUUGUUUCCGUUCUAUUUUUUUUUUUUUUUUUUUUACUGUGAAAAUUAUAGUUAUUAAUCAAUUAUUUAUUUGUAAAACGCUGAUGAAGUUGAAGAUUUGAUGAUUAUGAUAAUUAAUAUUAUUACAUUAUUACUACUAUUAUUGUAACAACUAUUACUAUUAUUACUAGCAUUAUCAUUAUCAUACGAAGACGAAGAACAAAGAUUCGCUAAUGUUCCUGUUAAAUAAUAUUAAUGAAAGAAGAAGAAGAAAAAUGAAUAAGUAAAGUAAAAUAAAACUCGAUAAUAAUAAUGAAGUAAAAAUUAAAUGAUCGAAUAUAAAAUAUUAUCAUAGCAACUAAGUCAUGUGGACUCGAACUAAGCUCGAUCGUGGCCUGUAUUAUUGUAUUUAAAAAUAAUAACGUAAUGUAACACGCGCGAUAUAUGACGCGGGGCGGGGGAAGAGAAAUAAAUGUAAAAUGUAUAUCUGACAAGCCAAAAAUUUUGGCGUUUAAAUUUGGUAACGAGAUGCGGUUUAAUUAUAUAAUAUAUAGGUAUAGUUAUAUACUUGAUUGUGAGUGUCGAUCGGGCUGGUUCGGGGGUGCUACUAAAAAAAACUACCCUACUACCACCCACAAUCUGUAGAGGCACGUAUAACAAAAUGGGUGGGGGGAAUAAAAACUGAAAUUUUUAUAAUUUCUUAAUCUUGCGUCAAUAUAAUGUAUACGCUAUACAUGCAUAUUAUAUAUGAAUGACCUAGGGAAACAAUUUGUCAUUUUUUGUACUUACCGCGUAUAACUUCUUUCGACAAUUUCAUUUCAUAGUAUAUAAAUAUAUGUACAUUAAUUGACAUAUGUGUCGACGCAUCUCGCAUAUAUAUAUAUAUGCUGCAACUUCUCGAAAAAUACUUUAACUCGUCUUGUCUCAUUUUCUGAUACAUUAUUCAAAUAUUAUCGCAAUUUCGAGAUUGCGAGAGGGAGUGAGAAACAGAGAGAGAGGUUAAAGGGUGAAAACGUACCAUCGUGAGUGACUUCGAUUGGCGUUCUUCAUCCCUUCUUGCACUGCUCCCCUUAUUCCGAUAUCCUAUUUCGUCCUUAAACCCCCGACCCCCCGAAAACUCAUCUCGUAAUUAUGGUAUAGAUCACAUUGUAAAGACUUCGAGUAUAAUAACUUUUUGUAUAAAAAAAAUUCUGUAUAUUUGUAGUAGACAUCGGACGAGCGUCGUGUAGGAAAGAG